GGACAGAUGGGCCCAGGAGGCGGGGCUGCCUCAGGCUCCAAAUGGGGAAGGGGUGUGGAACCUCUCUGUCUCUCACCACAGAUGCAGAAGAGGAGGUAAGGACAAGGAGCACAGUGUGGAGAAAGGAGCCCUUUAGGGUGAAGUGAGAACGGGAGGCUCCCAGUGUGUUAGCUGGGACUGGACAACCUCUGGGCCCAAGCUGGAGGUCCCAGUGGACGCCUGUCUUCAGAGAAGCCUGAAAGAUCUGCUCAGACAAGGAAGGACACCAUCCCCUCCGCACCUGCCAGGCCGGACCCAACUGGGGAAGCCUGGGAAGUACCCCUUGACUUGGUGAGUCCUGGUCUCAAGGGAAAAGAUAACCCUCCUGAGAGCAGCUGCCCUGUAG
rnacentral:lncRNA from 1 species